rnacentral:pre_miRNA from 1 species
AACUGCCACAGCCUCUUCCGGGUUCUACAUGGUGCUGACGUAGCAUACCAUAUGGAUGCUGAUGUGGCAUCAUCUUUAAUAGAGUCAGUCAUUGCAGAGUUAAAGAUGAUGCCACACUAUCGUCCAUGUGGCAUGCCACGUUAGUGUCACGUAGGAUUUUAAAGGGGUUGUGGCAGUU